GCCAGUGUGGUGGAAUUGGUAGACACGACGGAUUCAAAAUUCGUUGCGGCAAGGUGUGCCGGUUCGAGUCCGGCCACUGGUA
rnacentral:tRNA from 1 species